rnacentral:rRNA from 1 species
UGGGGAAUAUUGCACAAUGGGGGAAACCCUGAUGCAGCGACGCCGCGUGAGUGAAGAAGUAUUUCGGUAUGUAAAGCUCUAUCAGCAGGGAAGAAGAAGACGGUACCUGACUAAGAAGCCCCGGCUAACUACGUGCCAGCAGCCGCGGUAAUACGUAGGGGGCAAGCGUUAUCCGGAUUUACUGGGUGUAAAGGGAGCGUAGACGGCUGUGCAAGUCUGAAGUGAAAGGCAUGGGCUCAACCUGUGGACUGCUUUGGAAACUGUGCAGCUAGAGUGUCGGAGAGGUAAGUGGAAUUCCUAGUGUAGCGGUGAAAUGCGUAGAUAUUAGGAGGAACACCAGUGGCGAAGGCGGCUUACUGGACGAUGACUGACGUUGAGGCUCGAAAGCGUGGGGAG